CUGGUCGGGUUGGUUAUCACUGAGCCAGACCAGAACUCCCUGUUCUGUUUACAUUUUUAUGCUAUUUCUGCAUUUCAUUCCAGAUGCUUUCCUCACCGGCUCCUUCUGCACUUGGCGUCCUUUGCCCCAGAACCCACCAGUAUGGCCAGGAGCUCCCAGAUCUUNACAAAGCACUAAAACAAGCGAAAAUGAAAGCGAAGGAAGGCCUCUGCCCUCUCUUGUGUCACUGACACAGCACUGACCCAGGGAGGAGGCUGGGAGCCGGCGACGAGGGACAGGGCCACCGCAUGGCACGGCAGCUCCAGUAACCAUCCUGCUGCCAAGACCAAGCGGUUCUCUCCGUUAAAUGGGAGAUGGGUAGGGAAGCCCACCACAGAGGUCUCUUCAUGCUGGUCUUGGUAGCCAGCCCCUCUAACGUGGUCAUGUCCACCGCAACGCUCCCUGGCAGAACCAGCCACUACCUGCACACCGGAAGAGAAAAAAAAUUGCUGUCAGUAAAAUUGAAAUCGAAAUGAAUUUUUGAACACAGCAGAAAAAGUCUGAGGCUGCUACUUCCAUGUUUAUCUCAAAAGACUCAGGUGCAGAAGGGGAAACACACUUUUUAUUGACUCUCUAAAGUUAAACUACUUUGUAAAGUUAAACAAGCUUGUUGGGGCCACACAGAUACCCACGCAAUUUCCCAAGCUCACUAGUCAGUGUAUCAGGUAUAAAUGAGGCACCUCUCUUACAGGUACCAGUGAAAACAUGGCAUCUGGAAGCCCCAGUGCUACUGCUAAUCACUCUACUAAAACCUUAUAUGGACAGAAAGCAUAAUUCAGAGAAAGACCUUAGAGAAGGCAGCCUGAGGUCGAGAAGGCAGGGACACAGCUUCAGGCCUUCGGCAGCCCUCCUGGAUCCAGGAAGAGAAAAGCCUGUAUACUGUGGCAGAGCAGGGAGAGAGAAAAUGCCUGGGACGUGGAAGGCAUCACUGGUCCUCUGUCUUCACCUGGCUUCCCAACACUGUGACUUCUGGUAGCUGGAGGUGACUCGCCUUUGUAUUUGGUCUUUAUUAGUCAGACAUUUUGUUUCAUUUCACUUUGAUUUCAGUUUUGUUUUUGCAGAUAGACUCAUUCAUAAAUGAUACAUAUGGUUAUACUGUCAUCACAUCACUAUGCAUUAGUAGUUAAAUCACAAUUAAAUUAUGGAGGAUAGCCACGAAGAGACAGCAGUUGCUUUGAGGCUCCAGGUUAUACUGAGAUACAAUGGGAACUCCUGGAUUUAUGCUAAUAACUGAUUAGAAAAGACUUUGCAAAAGCAUCAGACGAGAGAGCUGUCCCUUUCCUCUUAUCUUGCCCAUCACAGUUAGCUCAUUAUAAUCUAUCACGUAAAGUGUCCAACAAGCCACUGAGAAUCUUUUAUAACAUGAGAACUCAGAAAAAAAAAUAUUACAAGAAAGUCACCCAUCUUCUAAUUUCUGGUUGAUAAUACUCGCUGUUCUCACCAAGUGUGUUCAUAUAGAAAUGCUCGAAUACGCACAUAUGGGCACAAAAUCUGUUGUUUAUACAUGGUUUUUAUUUACACUGUCGGCAAGAACACAAGGUAGAACAGAGGCAGUUUCAGCUGUGCUUUCAGUAGAAGGCUCCUGAAUAGUUUAUGUAUUCAUUUAUUUGUCUUUUUGUCAUUUCUUGGGCCACUUCUGCGGCACAUGGAGGUUCCCAGGCUAGGGGUCUAAUAGGAGCUGUAGCCGCUGGCCUACGCCACAGCUCACGGCAACGCCAGAUCCUUAACCCACUGAGCAAGGCCAGGGAUCGAACCCGCAAUAUCAUGGUUCCUAGUCGGAUUCGUUAACCCCUGAGCCACAACAGGAACUCCAAAGGCUCCUGAAUAGUUUAAACGGAUAUAUUUUGAAAAAAAAAUUAAGGAUGCACAUUUUGGAGCUCAUAUGCUUUAAAUCUCAAUUGUUUGCUUCUCAUACCAGUUUUCUUCAGCAUCCAUGUGUUCACAUCAGUGGAAAAUAAGUGUAUCACAGCUGGCGU
rnacentral:lncRNA from 1 species